rnacentral:pre_miRNA from 1 species
ACAAAACUAGCUACUUGUCAUUUUUUAAUUGGUUUUAAUGUGUUAAAAUUUUAUAAGAACCAAUUUGAAAAUGACAAGUAGCUAGUUUUGA